UGGGGAAUAUUGCACAAUGGGCGCAAGCCUGAUGCAGCCAUGCCGCGUGUGUGAAGAAGGCCUUCGGGUUGUAAAGCACUUUCAGCGAGGAGGAAGGGUUCAGUGUUAAUAGCACUGUUCAUUGACGUUACUCGCAGAAGAAGCACCGGCUAACUCCGUGCCAGCAGCCGCGGUAAUACGGAGGGUGCAAGCGUUAAUCGGAAUUACUGGGCGUAAAGCGCACGCAGGCGGUUUGUUAAGUCAGAUGUGAAAUCCCCGCGCUUAACGUGGGAACUGCAUUUGAAACUGGCAAGCUAGAGUCUUGUAGAGGGGGGUAGAAUUCCAGGUGUAGCGGUGAAAUGCGUAGAGAUCUGGAGGAAUACCGGUGGCGAAGGCGGCCCCCCUGGACAAAGACUGACGCUCAGGUGCGAAAAGCGUGGGG
rnacentral:rRNA from 1 species